rnacentral:rRNA from 1 species
UGGGGAAUUUUGGACAAUGGGGGCAACCCUGAUCCAGCAAUGCCGCGUGAGUGAAGAAGGCCUUCGGGUUGUAAAGCUCUUUUGUCAGGGAAGAAACGGUAGUAGCGAAUAACUAUUACUAAUGACGGUACCUGAAGAAUAAGCACCGGCUAACUACGUGCCAGCAGCCGCGGUAAUACGUAGGGUGCAAGCGUUAAUCGGAAUUACUGGGCGUAAAGCGUGCGCAGGCGGUUGUGUAAGUCAGAUGUGAAAUCCCCGGGCUCAACCUGGGAAUUGCAUUUGAGACUGCACGGCUAGAGUGUGUCAGAGGGGGGUAGAAUUCCACGUGUAGCAGUGAAAUGCGUAGAUAUGUGGAGGAAUACCGAUGGCGAAGGCAGCCCCCUGGGAUAACACUGACGCUCAUGCACGAAAGCG